GCCCCCAAUUGUGUAGCUCUGGUGGAAGAGCGUGAGACUCUUAAUCUGAGGGCAAUGGGUUCAAGCCCCAUGUUGGGCA